CUACGGGAGGCAGCAGUGGGGAAUAUUGGACAAUGGGCGCAAGCCUGAUCCAGCAAUGCCGCGUGAGUGAAGAAGGCCUUAGGGUUGUAAAGCUCUUUCACCCGUGAAGAUGAUGACGGUAGCGGGAGAAGAAGCCCCGGCUAACUCCGUGCCAGCAGCCGCGGUAAUACGGAGGGGGCUAGCGUUGUUCGGAAUUACUGGGCGUAAAGCGCGCGUAGGCGGCUGAUCAAGUCAGGGGUGAAAGGCCUGGGCUCAACCUGGGAACUGCCUUUGAUACUGGUCGGCUUGAGUCCGGGAGAGGGUAGUGGAAUUCCCAGUGUAGAGGUGAAAUUCGUAGAUAUUGGGAAGAACACCGGUGGCGAAGGCGGCUGCCUGGCCCGGCACUGACGCUGAGGUGCGAAAGCGUGGGGAGCGAACGGGAUUAGAUACCCGAGUAGUCC
rnacentral:rRNA from 1 species